AUCACCAGUCCCAAAUAGGACGAAAUGCGCAUCCUGGAU
rnacentral:hammerhead_ribozyme from 1 species